UCAUAGCGACUAUCGUGGCAUAUCAAUAAGCGGAGGAAAAGAAACUAACAAGGAUUCCCUUAGUAACGGCGAGUGAAGCGGGAAGAGCUCAAAUUUGAAAUCUUCAAGGUUCUACCUUGACGAAUUGUAGUUUAUAGAAGUGUUUUCUGUUAGUGGAGUGGCAAAAGUUCUUUGGAAUAGGACAUCAUAGAGGGUGAGAAUCCCGUAUUUGGUCAUUCCUCCUAGCGUUGUGAUACACUUUCAACGAGUCGGAUUGUUUGGGAAUGCAGUCCAAAAUGGGUGGUAAAUUUCAUCUAAAGCUAAAUAUUGGCGAGAGACCGAUAGCGAACAAGUACCGUGAGGGAAAGAUGAAAAGAACUUUGAAAAGAGAGUUAAACAGUACGUGAAAUUGUCAAAAGGGAAGCGUUUGACACCAGUGUUGUUUAGUUGAAAAUCAAUUCAAUAAUUUUUGAUUUUGAGUAGUAUUGACUUCAUCAGCUUGCUGCUUUCUUUUCGGAAAUUAUUGAAUGCACUUUUCAGUUAACAAGUCAACAUCAAUUUCUUUUGUUGUAAAAGGGUAAGAGGAAGGUGGCUUACGCUUCGGCGUAAGUGUUUAUAGCCUUUUACCUCUGCAAUCGGAGAGAUUGAGGUACUAGCAGCGUAGACUCUUCGGGGUUAGAUACACUUGUGCUAAGCUAUAGCCUUGUAUAGACAACUUGUUGACUAUGCUCAGUCAUGUAGCUUACUCGCUUGUGCUAUUUUACCUACGCUUAGGAUGUUGAUAGUCACAGCGUGUAC
rnacentral:rRNA from 1 species